rnacentral:lncRNA from 1 species
CCCACUCGGGUUACAAGCUCUCGUAACUGAGCUCGGUGAGUGAAGGGAGUGGAGACGGGUAUUUAAACUGGUCGAGAGCCUCCUCGGUUGGCGAGGUGGGACUAAAGAAGGAGGAGUGCUGUGCUUCCUGCUGGGAGUGGGAGAUGUUUUCAGCGUGGGCUUUGGCAGCUUUGGCAUUUGUGGUUUUGGGCUCAUGGACGUGGCCAUGUGGGCAAGGCUCUGGCAGCCCUUCGUGGAUUUUAGUGCUAAUUAGCAUAGUGAACCUGCUUAGCAGAAAUGGAAACAAGUAUAAAUUGCUGCAUGGUUAAAGUUGGGACUAAGAAAUAUUUUACUUGUAUAAGAAUCCCAAACGCAUAUCAGUUGGGAAAACAGUAUACAGUCUCUAUAUCAUGCAUGCUCGAGUAUAGCGUAAUUAGCUAGUAAAAAUCCGACGUGGAAGGUUAAUUAGCGAAGAGAGAGACUAGUUAUGUAUCUUGUUGAUGAUACAAGUCUCUGACUGAUGCAUCGUCAUGUACACCAUCGGAUGCAGGUGGCUCAACAAGCAGUUCUCUUUUCGAGGGGACGUUUAUCAGAACCAAUUUUUGGCAUCAGCAUGAAGCCAUCCAGGAGUCUCAUGAACCAUGCAUCGUCGAGUUCAGACGAUGAAACAUCUGACCACGAGAGCGAAUCGGGUGAUAAACAACCUGGUAUGGUAGUGAUCAAAAUGAGGACCAAAGGAUGCAAGACAAGAAGAUCAAAGCACGAAAGGCGAGAACGAACCACAAGAUAUCAUCAUCUAUGAAGCCCACACCAUGAUGUGCAGAAAGAGGANNNNNNNNNNGGGGGGACGGUUUACAACAAAUCCUAACAUGUACAGAGUCACUGACAUUCACUUGUGAUCCAGAACAGGUAGUUGCGACGUAGUCCUGAGGAGCGCCGAAGCGACGAUGUGCGCAAUCCUCAGCUUUAUCUGCCCGCGACGUGGUAGAGGCUGAACCCCGCUCCGCCUUUCGCCCUUGUAGACUCUGACAAGAUCGCUGGCACAUACUCUCUCGCCCAUGGUGGUGAAGGAUGUGUCUGUGACUGAACUUCCUUGCUUGCUUGCUUGCUUGCACUUAUGCUUGAUGUCGGCUCCCUGCAUGGUCUUGUCGUCUAUUUAUAAGGCUUCAGGGAGGGCGCCAUUGAUUGAAUGUAUUUGGGUGACGUUCUUUCCUUACAUGUAGUGUCUGUUGGUAUGAGAAGCCUCUGUUUGGUCUGUUUUGUCCCAUCCAUGGCUUGGGGCUGUUUGUCUGUCCCUGUGUCAUCUGAACAAAUCUUUGACACUUAAACAAACACUGUAUGCACCUGUUGCCAAUCUUGGACAGCUGUGGUGUCAGGUGCUACAUUUUUGUGAAGAGCAAAAAAAUGGUUGCCAACCUGUGAUGUCCCCAGAUCCAGAGUAUUAGUAAUCUGUCUAUGAAGAAGCAUCUUUGAUCAUGCCUGUUCAUUGGGGGCAAUCAGAAGGUUCCUCCCAGCACUUAGUUGCUAAUCAUUUGCACUAGUUGUCCUGUGUGAUGAUGCAGAUGCUGCAGUCUAGUGGUUGGCCUUGACUGGUCUUGGUAUGGACACCUGUAUGUUAGAAGACAUUUUGGUCAACCUUUUUGUUGAUAAAUUAAUGCAUAGUUCUCUACAUUUUCUUCUGGUGGCACUUUCCUGCUAAUCAUUUGCAUUCCAUGAAUCAACAAAGUAGAGCUUGGUUGGACAUACUGGUUAACCUUGUGUUAAUAGACUGAUACGUACAUGGCUGUCUCAUGUGAUUGAUCAUAACUUCAGAGGAACUCUGCAUUUUUUUUGAGAUGGCACCUUGUUUACUACUAGUAUAAUCAUUUCCAUUCCAUGGAUGAAGAAAGUAGAGUCUGAUUAAUCAAGACUAUGAUAAUGAAGGCAUCAUCAGUUUUGAAGUUUUGAUAACAGGUUUCAGGAUAGAAUAACAGUCUUCAUUUGAACUUUGGAGCCAAGCAAAAAGACAGGUGCAGGCCACACAGAGUACACAAACUAUACAAUGACAGAGUAUACGGACGUGCGCGCCGAGAAGACGACAGCGGUGGGCACCAAGUUGGCGGUGCAGAUCAAGAUAGCGGUGGCGUCCAGCGCGUAUGUGUUUGACGUGUACGCGUGCCGUGUGAGGCUCGAACCGACGACUACAAGUCCCACCCCGACGACGGCUACGACAAGACCACCGUCCUGAAGAACAUCCGCUACCAGGAUAUUGUGGCCACCGGCGUGCGGAAGGAGGCUGCGAGGGUGCAGGGCAUCCAGGGGGCGCCCUUCAAGUGCAUCUGCAUGGCCAACGUCAUCGCCGAGAUGACCAAGGAGAGGAAUGUGUCGUGGAACUGCACCGACGUCGAGGACGUCUCGGCCGGCGUCACCCCGGCGCCAUGCGCGCCGCUGUAGGGAACCCACGCCGGCUCCUGCCCGUUCCCCACCGACACACUCACCGUUGACCAGAUCACCGUGCAACGGUGCUCAUACUCCAUCCCACCUGCUACUUCAGUGGCUGGGACAGAGUAGCUCAGCUAUAUAGUAUCCAGCUUCUUACUGCACCAAGUGAUGAGGCUAUUGGAUCUCUAAGUGAGAACAGUAACAAUAAGGAGCGUGUUGUCGAGUGGCUUACUGUUUCAAUACAUACAUAAUUGUUGUGAGUAACUAUAGAAGCAAAAGUUGUUUGUGAGCAACUUACUGUUUCGAUGCAUACGGAGUUGCAAAUUCAGAAUUGUCACUUUUGUUGUUCAUCAGUGUUUAUCCUAGGCCUUGCAAGGCAGACCGUCAAACCGUUGCUUGUUUGCCAUAUUAUCGGAUAGACAAAAGAUAUGAAGCACAAUUUAUAUUGAAGACUCAAAAGAGCAAGCAAAUGGACUUCUUAUGUGCAACACAAAAAGAAUAAUACUCACAAAUUAUAUUCAAGAGUCAAAAGUGUAAGCAAAUAAGCGUCUUAUGUUCACCCAAAAAAAUACUCACAAUAUAUAUUUAAGAGUCACAAUUUAUACUCAAGAGUAUAUGUAAGCAAAUAAACCUCCUGUGUUUAGGAAAAAAAUGAAUACUCGUAAUUUAUAUUGAAGAGCCAUAAUUUAUACUGAAGAGUCAAUAUUUCAUGCAAUUAAAAUUUUAGUGUUCAAUAAAAAAAGAAACACUCGCAAUUUAUACUCAAGUCAAAAGAGUGAGCAAAUAAACCUCUUACAUGCAUCACAAAAAAUGAAAAUAUUCCCAGUUUAUAUUCAAGAGCCAAAAGAAUAAGCAAAAAAUACAUUUAUACUCAGAACAAAGAAAAAAUGUGAUGGUUCGCUGGAGUAGGCUACGAGGCCCAAGCGGCCUAGGAGUGCAGCGGCCCGUUAUCCUUCCACCGUUGGAAGCGGGCAGUUGUCGCUGCUCUAUGAAGCCAGCCUCACGCUGUGCCUGCCACAUUAUGGACCAUGAGGCCCAGCUUUCGUAUAGACCCCAAGCGGUCCACUACGCAACUUGGAACGAGCGGGUCAGCAAUAGCAUUCCCAGACCAGGCCCGCAGCGCUACAAAUGUCGACAUCACCUUGAUGCCCCCACUUGGGUUACAAACUCUCACAAUUGAGCUCGGCGAGUGAAGAGAGUGGAGACGGGUAUUUAAGCUGGUCGAACGCCACCUCGGUUGGCGAAGUGGGACUAAAACUAGUGGAGUACUGUGCUUCCUGUUGGGGAAUGAGGUGGAGCGUUGUGGACUGAAAGAAGUUUUGGGCUCAUGAACGUGGCCAUAUGGACAUGGUUUUGGAACUGGGUGCUAAUUAGCACAAUGAACUUGCUUAACAGAAAUGGAAACAAUAUUAAAUACAGUAUUUUAUUUGUAGAAUCCCAAACGCAUAUCAAUGGGACAAACAGUACAAUCUUUCUAUCAUCGAUUUGAUUUUUUACUCGGUAGCAUGUACUGUAUCCGAAGGUUAAUUAGUGAAGACUGAAGACAGGAUUAAUGACUGGCUCGAUCCUUGUCUUCUCCUUCUCCAACUCUCCCCAGACAGCUCAAACGAGCAAAAGAAAAAAAAAGAGGAGAUUCUUACUACAUGUAAAGCUGCCUUCACAUAUUUGACUGGUGCAUCGACAAGUAUGAAGCCAUCGACAAGUCUUACGAAGGAUGCAUCAUUGAGUUCAAAUGAUGAAACAUCUGACGACGAGACCGAAUCGGAUGGUAAACAGUCUGGUAGUGAUCAGAAUGAGGACCAAAAAGAUUCAAGACAAGAGCAAACAACGAAAAGUAAGAACGAAUCAGACAAUCAUCCAUGCAUGAAGCGCACACCGUGAUGUGCAGAAAGAGGAGCAACUUUCUCAAAAACCGAUAAAAACAGUUACACAUGGGGAGCAGUUUACAAUGAAUCCUAAUAUGUACAGAGUCAGUCUCAGUCACAUUCACUUGUGAUCCAGAACUUGGUCGCGGCCGCGGCCAAACUGCGCUCCACCUUUCACCCUUGUAAACUACGACGUGUACGCGCGCCGGAUGAGGCUCGAGGGCAUGAAGCGCGUCUUCUGGAUGACCGGCAACUACAAGUUCCACCCCGAAAACAGCGGUACCGGUGGUGGAGAACAUUAGCUACCAGGACAUGGUGGCCACCGGCGUGUGGAAGGAGGCGUUUGAGGAUGCAGAGCAUACCUGGACACGCCCUUCACGGGGUUCUGCAUGGCCAACGUCACCGCCAAGAUGACCAAGGAGAGGAAGGUGUCGUGGAAGUGCGCCGAUGUCAAGGGCGUGUCGGCCGGCGUCACCCCAGCGCCCCGCAGGGCAGCCAUGCCGGCUCCUGCCCAUUCCCCACCGACACACUCGCCGUCGACCAGAUCACCAUGCAGCAGUGCUCUUACUCCAUCGCACCUGCUACAUCAGUGGCUGGGACAAAGUACUAUCCAGCUUCAUGCUGCAUCAAAUGAUGAGGCUAUUGGAUCCCUAAGCGAGAACUGUAACUAUAAGUAGCGUGUUGUCGAGUGGCUUACUGUUUCAAUGCAUAGAGAGUUGUUGUGAGUAACGUUAGAAGUAAAAGUUGUUUGUGAGCAACUUACUGUUUCAAUGCAUACAGAGUCACAAAUUCAGAAUUGUCACUUUGUUGUUCAUCAGUGUUUAUCCUAGGCUUGCAAGGCAGACUGUCAAACCGCUGCUUUGUUGCCAUAUUAUUGGAUAGAAAAAAUGCAAAGCUUUGUUGCCAUAUUAUUGGAUAGAAAAAAUGCAAAGCACAGUUUAUAUUGAAGACUCAAAAGAGCAAGCAAAUGGACCUCUUAUGUGCAACACAAAAAGAAUAAUACUCACAAAUUAUAUUCAAGAGUCAAAAGAGUAAGCAAAUAAGCGUCUUAUGUUCACCCAAAAACAUACUCGCCAUUUAUAUUCAGAAUCACAAUUUCUACUGAAGAGUAAACAAUGUAAGCAAAUAAACCUCCUGUGUUCAGGAAAAAAAGGAAUACUCGUAAUUUAUAUUCGAGAACACAAUUUAUAUUGAAGAGUCAAAAUUGCAUUCAAUUAAAAUUUUAAUGUAAACCUCUUACAUGCAGCACAAAAAAUGGAGUGAGCAAAUAAACCUCUUACAUGCAGCACAAAAAAUGGAAAUACUCUCCGUUUACAUUCCAGAGCCAAAAGAGUAAGCAAAAAAUACAUUUAUACACAGAAAAAAGUGAAAAUUCCAGAGCCAAAAGAGUAAGCAAAAAAUACAUUUAUACACAGAAUAAAGAAAAAAGUGAAAAUACAUUUAUACACUGAAUAAAGAAAAAAAUGAUGGUUCGCUGGAGUAGGCUACGAGGCCCAAGCGGCCUAGGAGUGCAGCGGCCCGUUAUCCUUCCACCGUUGGAAGCGGGCAGUUGUCGCUGCUCUGUGAAGCCAGCCUCACGCGGUGCCUGCCACAUUAUGGACCGUGAGGCCCAACUUUCGCAUAGGCCCCAAGCGGUCCACUACUCAACUUGGAACGGGCGGGCCAACAGUAGCACACCUAGACCAGGCUUGCAGCGCUACAACAGCGUCCACACCACCUUAAUGCCCCCACUUGGGUUACAAGCUCUCGCAACUGAGCUCGGCGAGAGAAGAGAGUGGAGGCGGGUAUUUAAGCUGGUUGAACGCCUCCUCGGCUGGCGAGGUGGGACUAAAAUAAGUGGAGUGUUGUGCUUAGUUAGGGAAUGAGGCGGAGCGUUGUGGACUGAUAGAAGAUUUUAGCGUGGGCUUCUGUGGCUUCGGCCUUUGUCCUUUUGGGCUCAUGGACGUGUCCAUGCGGACAUGGUUUGGGCAGCCAUUCGCUGGUUUUGCAACGAGUGCUAAUUAGCACGGAGAACUUACUUAGCAGAAGUGGAAACAAUAUAAAUGUCCUCCUUUCCAUCCGUUUCUUCUCUGCCUUGUUGAUUAGUCUUCUCUUCUUUUCCAACCCUCUCCAAACAGAUCAAACAAGCAAAAAAAGAAAAGAAAAAGAGGAGAUUCUUACUGCAUGUAAAGCUGCCUCCACAGAUUUUAUUGGUGCAUCAUCAAGCACACACCAUCAGAUGCCGGUAUGAAGCCAUCAACGAGUCUUAUGAACGCAGCAUCGGCAAGUUCAAAUGAUGAAACAUCUGAACCGCGCUCCGCCUUUCACCCUUGUGAACUCCAACAAUAUCGCCGGCGCAAACUCUCUCGCCCAUGCUGGUGAAGGAUAUGUUUGUCUCUGUGAGCUGCCUUGGUUGCUUGCAUGCACUUAUGCUUAAUGUCUGCUACCUGGGUGGUCUAUUUAUAAGGCUUCAGAGAGUUCUAUCCGGAUCCAAUACACGACAGCUACAUUGUUGCUCCUUUGCCAUCAACUGUAUUUGGAUGAUGUUCAUUUUCUUAAUGUAGCCUUGUAUGUAGACUGUAGUGUCUGUCUGUUGGUAUGGGAAACUUCUGUUGAUGUGUGCUGUUCCAUUCUUAAUUUGGGGCUGUUUAUCCAUGUGUUAUCUGCAAAUCUUUGACUCUUGAACAGACACUGUAUGCACCUGUCAGGCCAACUGAUUUGCCAAUUUUGGACACAUGUGGUAUCUAGUACAUGUAUCAUGUAUAUGUGCAGAGUAGAGAAUGGUUGCCAACCUGUGAUGUCCCCAGAUCCAGAGUAUUAGUUUGCCCAUGAAGAAGCAUAUGUGAUUAUGCUUGCUAACUGUGUGAUUAAUUAUGUUUCAUGCUUGCUGCUAAUCAUUUGUGUUAAUUGUCCUCUCUGAUGAUGUAGCUGCUGCAGUCUGGUGGUUGGCCUUGACCGGUCUUGGUUCAACACAUGUGUUAGACACAGAUUCUUGGCCAUCCUUUUGUUAAUAAAUUAAUCCAUGGCCGACUCCUGUAAUUGAUCAUAAGCCUCUGCAUUUUUCUUGAGAUGGCAAUUUUAUGCUAAUCAUUUGCAUUCCAUAAGCCAAGAAAGCAAAGUCCGAGGGUGAUUAAACAAGACAUUACGAUAAAAGCUGGGACAAAGUAGAUCAAUUAUGUAGUACCCAGCUUCUUGUUGUACGAAGUGAUGUGGCUAUUGGAUCUCUAAGUGAGAACCGAUUGGCUGUCUUGGUAACUUCGAAAAUCAAAUUGUUUUGAGUAGCUUGCAAUUUCAAUGUUUAGAAACUUACAAAUUCAGAAAUGUUACUUUGAUAGUCCGAAAAGAACCAUAAUGGCAAUUUGUAGUCAAUAGAUAAAGAAAAGGAAAAAAAUAAAAAUAAAAUGAUGGUCCGCUAGAGUAGGUUGUGAGGCCCAAGUGGCCUACUCGACCUCGGUACCAUCUCCUUGAUAAUCCGAAAAGAACCAUAAUGGCAAUUUGUAGUCAACAGUCAUAAGAAAAGGAAAGAAAAUGAUGGUUCGCUGAAGUAGCCUACUCGACCUCGCACCAUCUCCUUGAUAGUCCCAAAAUAACUAUAAUGGCACUUUGUAGUCAAUAGUCAAAAGAAAAGAAAAAAAUGAUGGUUCUCUGGAGUAGGCUGCAAGGACCAAACGGCCUACUCGAGCUGGGCACCAUCUCCUUGAUAGUCCAAAAAAACCAUAAUGACAAUUUGUAGUGAAUAGUCAAAAGAAAAGGGGAAAAAAUGAUGGUUCGCGGGAGUAGUCUACUCGACCUCGGUAUCAUCUCCUUGAUAGUCCAAAAAUAACCAUAAUGGCAAUUUGUAGUCAAUAGUCAAAAGAAAAGAAAAAAAAUGAUGGUUCACUGGAGUAGGCUGCGAGGCCCAAGCAGCCUAAGAGUGCAGCGGCUCGUUAUCCUUCCACCGUUGGAAGUGGGCAGUUGUCGCUGCUCUGUGAAGCCAGCCUCACGCUGUGCCUGCCACAUUAUGGACCGUGAGGCCCAACUUUCGCAUAGGCCUCAGCCAGUCCACUACGCAACUUGGAACGGGCGGGCCAGCAGUAGCAUAUCCAGACCAGGCCCGCAGCGCUACAACAGCGUCCACAUCACUUUAAUGCCCCCACUCGGGUUACAAGCUCUCGCAACUGAGCUCGGC